UACGGAGGAUCCGAGCGUUAUCCGGAUUUAUUGGGUUUAAAGGGUGCGCAGGCGGGAGAUUAAGUCGGCGGUGAAAUUUUGCAGCUCAACUGUAAAAGUGCCUUCGAAACUGGUUUCCUUGAGUGUAGAUGAAGUAGGCGGAAUUUGUGGUGUAGCGGUGAAAUGCAUAGAUAUCACGAGGAACUCCGAUUGCGCAGGCAGCUUACUAAACCAUAACUGACGCUCAGGCACGAAGGCGUGGGGAUCAAACAGGAUUAGAUACCCGCGUA
rnacentral:rRNA from 1 species